rnacentral:misc_RNA from 1 species
UCUCCGUAGGUGAACCUGCGGAGGGAUCAUUACAGAGUUCAUGCCCUACCGGGUAGAUCUCCCACUCUAUGUUAUUAUUACUUUGUUGCUUUGGCGGGCCGUUAGGCUCCGGCCCGACUACCGGCCCCGGCUGGUAAGCGCCCGCCAGAGGACCCAAAACCCUGAAUAUUAGUGUCGUCUGAGUACUAUAUAAUAGUUAAAACUUUCAACAACGGAUCUCUUGGUUCUG